rnacentral:tRNA from 1 species
GGUGGCUCAUUGGUAGAGCACUUGCUUUGCAUGCAUGAGGCCCUGGGUUCGAUUCCUCAGCACCA